UACGGAGGGUCCAAGCGUUAUCCGGAUUCAUUGGGUUUAAAGGGUGCGCAGGUGGGGAUGUAAGUCAGUGGUGAAAUACUGCCGCUCAACGGUAGAACUGCCAUUGAUACUGCAUCUCUUGAAUAUGGUCGAGGUAGGCGGAAUGUGUCGUGUAGCGGUGAAAUGCAUAGAUAUGACACAGAACGCCGAUUGCGAAGGCAGCUUACUAGGCCAUUAUUGACGCUGAGGCACGAAAGCGUGGGGAGCGAACAGG
rnacentral:rRNA from 1 species